AUUGAACGCUGGCGGCAGGCCUAAGACAUGCAAGUCGAGCGAGAAAGCCCUUCGGGGUGAGUACAGCGGCGGACGGGUGAGUAACGCGUAGGAAUCUACCCAGUAGUGGGGGACAACUAGUGGAAACGCUAGCUAAUACCGCAUACGCCCUAAGGGGGAAAGCGGGGGAUCUUCGGACCUCGUGCUAUUGGAUGAGCCUGCGUAAGAUUAGCUUGUUGGUGAGGUAAUGGCUCACCAAGGCUACGAUCUUUAGCUGGUCUGAGAGGAUGAUCAGCCACACCGGGACUGAGACACGGCCCGGACUCCUACGGGAGGCAGCAGUCGGGAAUAUUGCGCAAUGGGGGAAACCCUGACGCAGCCAUGCCGCGUGUGUGAAGAAGGCCCUAGGGUUGUAAAGCACUUUCAAUUGGGAGGAAAAGCUAAUGGUUAAUAGCCAUUAGCCCUGACGUUACCUUUAGAAGAAGCACCGGCUAACUCCGUGCCAGCAGCCGCGGUAAUACGGAGGGUGCAAGCGUUAAUCGGAAUUACUGGGUGUAAAGCGCGCGUAGGCGGCUCUUUAAGUCGGAUGUGAAAGCCCCGGGCUCAACCUGGGAACUGCAUCCGAUACUGGAGGACUAGAGUGUAGGAGAGGGAGGUAGAAUUCCAUGUGUAGCAGUGAAAUGCGUAGAUAUAUGGAGGAAUACCAGUGGCGAAGGCGGCCUCCUGGCUUAACACUGACGCUGAGGUGCGAAAGCGUGGGGAGCAAACGGGAUUAGAUACCCCGGUAGUCCACGCCGUAAACGAUGUCUACUAGCUGUAGGGGUACUUGAGACCUUUGUAGCGCAGCUAACGCACUAAGUAGACCGCCUGGGGAGUACGGCCGCAAGGUUAAAACUCAAAUGAAUUGACGGGGGCCCGCACAAGCAGUGGAGCAUGUGGUUUAAUUCGAUGCAACGCGAAGAACCUUACCAGGCCUUGACAUCCCCGGAACUUUCUAGAGAUAGAUUGGUGCCUUCGGGAACCGGGUGACAGGUGCUGCAUGGCUGUCGUCAGCUCGUGUCGUGAGAUGUUGGGUUAAGUCCCGUAACGAGCGCAACCCUUGUCCUUAGUUGCCAGCACAUAAUGGUGGGAACUCUAAGGAGACUGCCGGUGACAAACCGGAGGAAGGUGGGGACGACGUCAAGUCAUCAUGGCCCUUACGGCCUGGGCUACACACGUGCUACAAUGGCUAGGACAGACGGCUGCAAACCAGCGAUGGGGAGCUAAUCCGACAAACCUAGUCGUAGUCCGGAUUGGAGUCUGCAACUCGACUCCAUGAAGUCGGAAUUGCUAGUAAUCGCGAAUCAGAAUGUCGCGGUGAAUACGUUCCCGGGCCUUGUACACACCGCCCGUCACACCAUGGGAGUGGGUUGCUCCAGAAGUGGUUAGUCUAACCUUCGGGAGGACGAUCACCACGGAGUGAUUCAUGACUGGGGUGAAGUCGUAACAAGGUAGCCCUAGGGGAACCUGGGGCUGGAUCACCUCCUUA
rnacentral:rRNA from 1 species